rnacentral:rRNA from 1 species
GACGAACCGUGCGAACGUUAUUCGGAAUCACUGGGCUUAAAGCGCGUGUAGGCGGGACGGCACGUCUGUCGCUGAAAUCCCCCGGCUUAACCGGGGAACUGGCGUAGAUACGACCGUCCUGGAGGGGCGUAGGGGGACCUGGAACUUCUGGUGGAGCGGUGAAAUGCGUUGAGAUCGGAAGGAACGCCCGUGGCGAAAGCGAGGUCCUGGACGCCUACUGACGCUGAGACGCGAAAGCCAGGGGAGCGAACGGG